rnacentral:rRNA from 1 species
AGAUUGAACGCUGGCGGCAUGCCUUACACAUGCAAGUCGAACGGCAGCACGGGAGCAAUCCUGGUGGCGAGUGGCGAACGGGUGAGUAAUGCAUCGGAACGUGCCCUGAAGUGGGGGAUAACGUAGCGAAAGUUACGCUAAUACCGCAUAUUCUGUGAGCAGGAAAGCAGGGGAUCGCAAGACCUUGCGCUUUAGGAGCGGCCGAUGUCGGAUUAGCUAGUUGGUGAGGUAAAGGCUCA